rnacentral:rRNA from 1 species
GACGAACCGCCCGAACGUUGUUCGGAAUCACUGGGCUUAAAGGGAGCGUAGGCGGGCUGCCAAGUCCGGGGUGAAAUCCUCCAGCUUAACUGGAGAACUGCCUCGGAUACUGGAAGUCUCGAGGAGGGUAGGGGCAAGUGGAACCGUGGGUGGAGCGGUGAAAUGCGUUGAUAUCCAUGGGAACUCCGGUGGCGAAGGCGACUUGCUGGGCCCUUUCUGACGCUGAGGCUCGAAAGCCAGGGGAGCAAACGGG